rnacentral:rRNA from 1 species
UUAAGUAAGGAAGGGCGUACGGCGAAUGCCUGGCCACUCGAAACUGAAGAAGGACGCGCCAAACUGCGAAAAGCUCCGUGAAGCUGUAAGGAAGCGAAGAAGCGGAGGUGUCCGAAUGGGGGAACCCGGCAGCAGACAUGAGCUGUCAUCUGCAGGUGAAUACAUGGCCUGCAAGAGAGGUACCCGGCGAACUGAAACAUCUAAGUAGCCGGAGGAAAAGAAAACAACAGUGAUUCCCUGAGUAGCGGCGAGCGAAAGGGGAGAAGCCCAAACCGGUCCAAGGACCGGGGUUGAAGGACCAUGAUAUGGCAAGAGAGAGGAUAGAAGAACGGGAUCGAAAGCCCGGCCGAAGAAGGUGCAAGCCCUGUAUUUGAAAUCUGAUUGAAGCCUAAUGGGAUCCUGAGUACGGCGAGACACGAGGAAUCUUGUCGGAAGCAGGCGGGACCAUCCGCCAAGGCUAAAUAUAAACGAGUGAGCGAUAGUGAACCAGUACCGUGAGGGAAAGGUGAAAAGAACCGCGGGAGCGGAGUGAAAGAGAACCUGAAACCGUAUGCCUACAAGAAGUCAGAGCCCGUUAAGGGGUGAUGGCGUGCCUUUUGUAGAAUGAACCGGCGAGUUGCGACAGACUGCGAGGUUAAGGAGGAAAGACCGGAGCCGAAGCGAAAGCGAGUCUUAAGAGGGCGAAAGUAGGAUGUUGCAGACCCGAAACCGGGUGAUCUAGCCAUGAGCAGGUUGAAGUUGAGGUGAAACUCAAUGGAGGACCGAACCGACUACCGUUGAAAAGUUAGCGGAUGACUUGUGGCUAGGGGAGAAAUUCCAAUCGAACCCGGAGAUAGCUGGUUCUCCCCGAAAUAGCUUUAGGGCUAGCGUUGGAAAGAACCUUAGUGAAGGUAGAGCACUGAAUGUGUGAUGGCCCCAUCCCGGGGUACUGAAUACAAUCAAACUGCGAAUGUCAUUAAGGAUGUCCGGCAGUCAGACUGUGAGUGAUAAGGUCCAUGGUCAAGAGGGAAACAGCCCAGACCGCCAGUUAAGGUCCCAAAAUACAGGCUAAGUGGAAAAGGAUGUGGGGAUGCCCAGACAACUAGGAGGUUGGCUCAGAAGCAGCCAUCCUUUAAAGAGUGCGUAACAGCUCACUAGUCGAGUGACCCUGCGCCGAAAAUGUACCGGGGCUAAGCCUGAUACCGAAACUGCGGAUUGUAGGAAACUAUAGUGGUAGGGGAGCGUUGUAUACGAGUAGAAGCCGUACCGUGAGGAGCGGUGGAUUGUAUAGAAGUGAGAAUGCCGGUGUGAGUAGCGAGAUGUAGGUGAGAAUCCUACACACCGAAAGCCCAAGGAUUCCAGGGGAAGGUUCGUCCGCCCUGGGUAAGUCGGGACCUAACGCGAGGCCGAAAGGCGUAGUGGAUGGAAAGCAGGCGAAAGAUUCCUGCACCCGUAUAUGGAGCGAAGGAGUGACGGAGACGGAUAGUGUGACCCUCUUAAUGGAUUGAGGGCGAAGCGAAGCGGCUGGUUACCAGGCAAAUCCGGUAACUGAAAGGCUAGAGCGUGACAGGCAAGCGAAAUCUUAGGAAAGUAGCGAAGCACAUGAUGACGGCUUCCAGGAAAAGCUUCUGGCAAUGCAUAUGCGGCCCGUACCAAAACCGACACAGGUGGGCAGGGAGAGAAUCCCGAGGUGAGCGAGAGAACUGUUGCCAAGGAACUCGGCAAAAUGACUCCGUAAGUUAGCGAGAAGGAGUGCUUAAGCAAUUAAGCCGCAGUGAAGAGGCCCAAGCGACUGUUUAACUAAAACACAGCUCUCUGCGAAGUCGCAAGACGAAGUAUAGGGGGUGACACCUGCCCGGUGCUGGAAGGUUAAGAGGAUCUGUUAAGAGCGAUCUGAAGCAGUGAUCCGAAGCCCCAGUGAACGGCGGCCGUAACUAUAACGGUCCUAAGGUAGCGAAAUUCCUUGUCAGGUAAGUUCUGACCC